GACGAACGCUGGCGGCAUGCCUAAUACAUGCAAGUCGAGCGGAGUUGAUGAGAAGCCUGCUUCUCUGAUACUUAGCGGCGGACGGGUGAGUAACACGUAGGCAACCUGCCCUCAAGCUUGGGACAACUACCGGAAACGGUAGCUAAUACCGAAUACUUGUUUUCUUCGCCUGAAGGAAACUGGAAAGACGGAGCAAUCUGUCACUUGGGGAGGGGCCUGCGGCGCAUUAGCUAGUUGGUGAGGUAACGGCUCACCAAGGCGACGAUGCGUAGCCGACCUGAGAGGGUGAUCGGCCACACUGGGACUGAGACACGGCCCAGGCGUCUACGGGAGGCAGCAGUAGGGAAUCUUCCGCAAUGGGCGAAAGCCUGACGGAGCAAUGCCGCGUGAGUGAUGAAGGUUCUCGGAUCGUAAAGCUCUGUUGCCAGGGAAGGACGCUUGGGAGAGUGACCGCUCCCAAGGUGACGGUACCUGAGAAGAAAGCCCCGGCUAACUACGUGCCAGCAGCCGCCGUAA
rnacentral:rRNA from 1 species